CACAAACGUUAGCUGGUCGCCCACCCCCCAGAUGUCAAAGGGAAAAAAAACUAGCCCACUCUCCCGGUCCGUUCCUCUCUCCCUCCGGCUCCGGUGCUUCACAUCUCGUCAUUGCGGCAGAGGCAGCGGCAGCGACGGCACCGCACGGACGACCCGGCGGCGAGGACUACCUCUCUCGCGCGUGGAGUAGCUCCCUUUCCUCUCUCAUGCGGUAGCAACUGAGGCGCUAUGGGCGGUGCAAGAUCCGGGCGAGCUCGGUAGGACAACGGCGUUCUCCGGCGUCCCUCUCCAGUGUCGACGGUAUUAUCGCCAGGUUAUUGGUUUUUGGGAGCAGUGUGGGGAAAGAGGAAGAAGACCAAGAAAGGAAAGGAAAAUGAGAAGCUCGGGUGAUGGAGGUAAUUCUGGAGAAGAGCUCCUGGUGGUGGGAUCAAUUCAGGGAGGAGGUGGAUAUCAUAGCGGAGGAGAUGAAGGGCGUGUCGAUGACAUAGAAGAAGAGGAGGAGCUUAAGGCUGCGGAGAAAAAGGAACAACAGCAGAGUAUCAGACUUCGAUCUAGCUGAGGCAAACCAAUAAUUGAAAUUCUGCCAAGAAAUCUAGGAGCAGAAGAAGAUGUAUGCAAGGGACUUGGAGACAAGGCAAUGGUGCGCAGGCGGGAAAAUUAUUGUUCUAAUUGGUUUUGAAGCUUUGGGUGCCUGCGGCCGGCUCAACAGGUGGCAUCAGCAAGCGCCGGCCGGCCUUGGCACUACUGCGGGUGGUUAUAUGGUGCGCGGAGCACACCAGUGGGCUUCAACGUCGGGGUACAGUGGCGAGCUAAAUCCUGAGUCCAGCUAGGCUUUUUUUGGUUCAGGUUUUGUUACUGUUUUCCAUUCGGGAUUUUGUGGUUGCCAAACCUAGCAUUUGCAGCUGUUUGUUUCAGAAAUUCAUGUCCCAACAUCAAAUUUUGAUAUGUAAGGAAAUCCUGCCAACAAAUCGAUGUUAUGGGCUUACUAGUCAGAUGAAUACUUUCUAUUUUAUUCAGGGAUACAUUCAGCAUGCUUGUGAGGUACACAUUUUUCAGGUCCAGUUAGAAGUGUUUGCUUGAUUUGUCGCCCAAGUUUCAUAUUCUAAUGAUGCUCCUUCACUUCAAUACAGCGUUGGCAUGUAGGAUGAAUAGCUAUGCAAAUUAUCAUGCACAAAUUAAAAAAAUAGCUUCGCUCUUCUUCUGCAUGUCUCCAAGGCAUAAUUUCUGAUCUAUCAUGAGAUAAUGAUUAUUUCUUCUUCUUUCUUAUCAUGCGGCUAGUUGCUAUGAAAAUUUAACACAUACAUCAGCCUUUUGUCAUUGAAACAAAAUCAUAUCUGCCAAGUUUCUACAUUCCGUCGAAGCUUGCAGAUUUACCAUCUAAGUUGGCACAUUUAUUGAAAGAAACCGUAACCAUGGAUUUUAUAUGGAAGAUCGACAUAUCAUCUUUACAUUAGAUUCAUGUAUACUGUAAGGAAUUGAUUUUGUUCAUCUUCAUUCCAUUUUCCUAUCUUGCAAAGAUGUCCAUUCAAGUAUGAUCAAUUUCUACUCUGUGACUUAAUACAUUUGUAACACUGGCAUAGUGCCAUUGACAUGCUUUUCUUUUUCGUCCCGUUUAAUAUUGAUUCAUCUACAUGGUUAUAUGCAUGCCUUUGCAUACAUUAGUUAUCCAGUCUGCUAUUGAUCAUCUCCAUUUUUCAUCCCGGCAGUACGCUGAUAGCUUAUCCAGUCGGCUAUUGAUCAUUUCCAUUUUUCACCCCAGCAGUAUGCCGAUAGCUAUAAUUGAGUCAAUAGUUCCAAAAUGUUGCUUCAUAAUUAUUUGUCUAUUUGGGCAGCACAUGGAUGGCUUUGGUGGGUGUCAUGGCCUUUCCAUUCUGAAUUGAAGUUGGUCUGAAAAUGUCAAACUCUGCCAUGGAACACAAAAGAUAUAACUUACCUUCAUAUGGUUGAUUCUUCUUAGUCUUCCUUUUGUGAAGCUUUGUAGCAAUCUUCCUUUUCCUAUCUGUAAUUCGAUUUUCUUAGGAAUACUCUCCAUUUUCUUAGGAACACGACGUUGUUUCGAUGCCUCCAAAUGCAACAGCAACAGAGCAGGAAGAAUAUCGAUGGCAAGGUGAGCGACAUCUGGCAGAUUGUGAACAGAGGCCACGGAAGGUGGCUGGAACCCCAACAUGGCCCCAAAAUCAACCACCAACGGGCAGGCGGAGAGGAGGUGACUCGCCGACCGCAGUGGGGCAUGGCGGAGUGGGCAACUAUUCCACGCUCUAAAAUUCAGGUUUAUAGCAAUGAAAAAGGUGAUUUUGUUCCUCAAUCAUGCUUAACAUUUCUUUAGCAAACAAGCACUAGCAGCCCGUUUUCAGAUGUGCUUCUUGUUGGUUCAUGUAGACAUGCCAAUGAAGGCCUGGUAAAGAAAAACAGAAAAAAUACAGUAUAUUGGUUUAAUUGUUCUCUUGUGUAGACCAAAAUUAGCGAGUAAAGGAAAUAUGAUUUUGCUUCCAAAUUCUUUCUGCGAGCAUAUCCCAGGAAUAAUGUUUUGUUCCUAUUUGAGUUGGAACGUGUGACUUCCGGAGGCUACUCUUCCAUCCGAUGUUGUUCAACAGCUCUCAAAGGCACAGAGCAAAUCAGUCGGGCUUUGACCAGAUGUCCAUCUCCAGAACCUUGAUUCCUAAUCCUACAGAGCUCUAUUCUGGCAAGUAGUACAUGUAAUUAGUUCUUGGAGGGUAUGCAGAUUGAAUUGCUAUAUUGCAGUCUGGACUACUACAAUUUGUUGAUAACCAUGGUCUGGAUGUAGAUAAUUUUGAGACAGCAUACUUCUUUCCGUGUGCAUAUAGGCUACUCUUCCAUCCGAUGUUGUUGUUCAACAGCUCUCAAAGGCACAGAGCAAAUCAGUCAGGCUUUAACCAGAUGUCCAUCUCCAGAACCUUGAUUCCUAAUCCUACAGAGCUCUAUUCUGGCAAGUAGUACAUGUAAUUAGUUCUUGGAGGGUAUGCAGAUUGAAUUGCUAUAUUGCAGUCUGGACUACUACAAUUUGUUGAUAACCAUGGUCUGGAUGUAGAUAAUUUUGAGACAGCAUACUUCUUUCCAUGUGCAUAUAGGCUACUCUUCCAUCCGAUGUUGUUGUUCAACAGCUCUCAAAGGCACAGAGCAAAUCAGUCAGGCUUUGACCAGAUGUCCAUCUCCAGAACCUUGAUUCCUAAUCCUACAGAGCUCUAUUCUGGCAAGUAGUACAUGUAAUUAGUUCUUGGAGGGUAUGCAGAUUGAAUUGCUAUAUUGCAGUCUGGACUACUACAAUUUGUUGAUAACCAUGGUCUGGAUGUAGAUAAUUUUGAGACAGCAUACUUCUUUUCGUGUGCAUAUAGGCUUUAUGGGAUUAGUCUCUCUAUCAUCAGUUCUUCCAGUAUUUGAUUCAACCCUCUUAAAUUCUAAUUUAAGCAAUUUAUCAAUCCAUCUCAUGGGAGAAGAUCUGUGUUUGGUUCAGUCAAAUGUCUUACAUUUCCUUUAAAUCUACUAUUAGUGUCAAAAACGCUCUUAUAUUGUGGGAUGGAGGGAGUAUCUUAUUUCUGUAACAUUCUGACCUAUAUAUGAGAAUUAUGUAGCUCCUUUAUUAUGACAGUAAAGAUUCACUAAUUUCUAUUGUACCACACGGUCCAUUUUAUUUCCAGUUGUUGCCACCUCAUCUAGAUACAGCACCCCCUAUUCAGUGAGCUCCUAGGCAUGCUUUGUGUUUUAGAUCAAACUGUUCUUCUGCAACAAAAUUGAAGUGUUGGUCUGGAAAAAAAAUUAAGAAGAAAUGAACUAUAUGCUCAUUUUCUACCAUCUACACUACUAUAGCAAUUGGUACAUGCCAGCGAGCAUAAUUCAGCAUGGGGCACCAUUCUGCUUUUCUUAAGAAACAAAGGGUUCUCCCUGGAGGGUCAUGUAAUCAGUGUGCUAUCUGAGGCCAUGUAUAGAGUUAUAGUUCUGUUUUUCUUGAGAGCUGACCCUGUAAAUUCUAGCUCUGUUUUCUUAGAGCUGACAUGUAAAUUCUUCAAUGUUUAAAUAAAGUUCAGCCUCAGGCCCUUCAAUAUAACACCACUCCCUAGACUAAAAGGUGAUGUUGUGUUUAUAUGAUAAGAAUAAGGUUCUCUUAGGAAUGUCAUUCAAAUAAAAAUAUAGUGUAUAAUUGAGGAAAAAAUUCUAGAAAUUGUACCACCAAAAAGAUUCCAACUGAGAUUUCCAUUACAUCAUCUUUUUUUGUGAAAUUCCAUCACAUCAAAUCUAGAUAAAAAUAUAGAGUGAAAAGGAGAGAAAAAAUUGAAUGCAUCACUAUCUGUUGUUUCUCUAGGAGCAGAAAAGAUCUUUUAAGGAACCGAGUAUCGUGUGAUGCAGCUCGUGCACAUAGAUGCUGAGGUAAGCGCCAUGGUAGUUUGAUGCUGAGGUAAAGUUACCGUGCGAGCCUAUUGUGUCUGACGGCAGUGGUUCGGGUGCGCAGACUUAGUAAGCGCCAUAACUUUUUUUUGAAGGAUAGUUUCUCAUAGGACGUAACUUAGUGGCAUGCAUAAUGUAAGACUACCUCUCUCCCUUUUAUGCGGCUAACGAAUGGUUUCCUUCCUCCCUAUAGUAAUCUUACCUCAAGUGUUUUUGUUUCUUACGUUUCAAAAUUCUGGACGUGGGAUAGGCUGGGGUGAGGAAUAAGAAUUCCUCACCCAGGAUGACAAAUAGCGCGAUCUUAUAUAUAUAUAUAUAUAUAUAGAAAGAGAAAGUAGCACUAUUUUAAUCUUAAGAUUAGAAUAGUUAUUUGGAUCAUGAUGGCCCUAUAUAGGAGCCGCAGAGGUGUUCCUGAGAUUCUAAAAACAAAAAGCCCACGAACAGGAACUCGAUCCCCAGCCCCGACCCACCUAUCGUCCGUCCCUCACCUCCCACUCUACCCCGACCCACCUACCCAUCGAAGAUCCCGGAGCCACCCGUCACCGGGGACCACCUGCACGCCGCCGACUGGAAUCCUGCGCGCUGCCGCCCACCAAGAACCUCGUGCGCCGCCGCCAGUACCAGCACCCUCUCAUUCCUCCCCACGAUUCGUCCCCCGGCUCCCUCCAAUCCAGCGCGCCGCCGGCCUCCAUCCGCCAGCUUCCACAGGGCGGCGGCGGCGGCGGCCUCCCCGUCCCCUGGAUCCACAGCGGCGGCCUCAUUCCCACUGGAUCCACGGCGGACACAGCCUCCUCUGCUUCCAACAUGGUGACGCCCUCCCUCCCGCGAGUUGCUGGCAAACCACUCGUCGUCACCUGCUGCUGCUCCUGGGUGGUGGUGCGGUCUCCCUGCUUGGUCGUGGUAGGGAGCCUACUGGAUGGCUCGCGCGCCUCCCCAACUGCAGUGUCAAGGCCGUUCAACACGGCAACCCAAGGUCGUUCAACGUCACAACCCAAUGCCAUUAAACUCCCAUGACGUCCCUCUUCUCUGACUCUGCCGAGGACUGGAGUGCAGCGCCACUGCCUCUGGUGCUUUUCCGUCUCCUCUGAAUCCCACUUUGUUCAUGUAUAUAUGUGAAUGAAGCUUCACUGUAUUCAUCUUGAACUGUUGCUUACUUUCUAUCAAAGGAGUGAAAACAUAGCAAGGUAGAGCAUGUGGUUGUUUGAUCAACUUUAAUUCUUCAUGGCCAUAUGCUUGGUCACUAGCCUGUAGUGGUCCAGUUAUGUUUGGACUUCAUAUACAACCGUCUGUCUUGUUUCCCUCUCCACUUUCAGGUUAAAAAAUGAGUUUUUGAUGGCUCCAUCGAAAAAUGUGCACUUGCACUGGAAAUAUAGGAGACUGGUGAUUUGUGGAACUUGAGCUAUAGAGAAUUGAGGUACUACUUUGUUUCUUGGAUGGUUACUAAAAACUCAACCUGCAUUACAAAAAUUAGGUACCAGAAAUGAUGAAAUUGAUUUUGUUAGAGCAAUUAUGCAAAAGCAAACUUUCAUUCAUGUUCCUAAAUGACAUACCUUAAUUUAUCCAAUCUUUCUUUGCUAACAUCAUUACUUUUUCUUCGUGGCAUCCCCCAAACGAGCCGCCCCAUCCGCCGCCGCUACAAGCAACCCUGGGAUUGCGACGACCUCAGCCAUGAGAUGCGGUGCUAGAAGUGCAUGGUAUGGCUGCCAUCGUCUGCUGCUAGCUACCGUUGCCUCUGCGGUCCGCUGCUAGCUGCCGCUGUAGUCCGCUGCUAGCUUCGCUGCAGUCCACCGCUAGCUCAUGCGGGGAGGUGGUGCUGCUCUGACAACUCCUUCCUCGAGCAUAGCCAGUCUCCAGCCACCUCCAACAGCCGCAACCCGCCAGAUCCGACAGAUGCUCAUGCGUGGGAGUGAUGUUACUCCGACGAGCUCCUUCAUCCCCGAGCAAAGCGCGUAGACAAUGGCCUCCUUCCUCUCGUUCCCUCUUCCAUCUGCCAAGCACAAUUCCGGCGAGCUUGUCGACCAGUGAGUCCUAUUGCCGCUGAUGCUACUGUUGAUCACCAUCGCGUGGCUAUAGAGCAUCCAUGGAAGGUCGACUAAAAUUGUCAUCGCAGGUCGAGUAAUAGUGGCAGCGACAACACAGCCACACGUGGCUAAAAAUGCAUGGUGAUAAUUGAAAGUCUAAACGUGAGAGAGUUUUCGGAGCACAUGUUUUCUGUUUGCUGCAAAAACACAAAAAAGUUGGCCAUGUGUGUUGGCCAUAUGCCCGUGAGACUAAAAACGGUUCGCAUUUCAUGUCAGCCAAAAAAGAAAUUGUGGAUGUGUUGUGCGUGUGCGUAUGCGCGCAGGUUACACUGAAUUAAAAAAACUACUUUUUGUCA